UACGAAGGGGGCUAGCGUUGUUCGGAAUUACUGGGCGUAAAGCGCACGUAGGCGGAUUGUUAAGUGAGGGGUGAAAUCCCAGGGCUCAACCCUGGAACUGCCUCUCAUACUGGCAAUCUCGAGUUCGAGAGAGGUGAGUGGAAUUGCGAGUGUAGAGGUGAAAUUCGUAGAUAUUCGCAGGAACACCAGUGGCGAAGGCGGCUCACUGGCUCGAUACUGACGCUGAGGUGCGAAAGCGUGGGGAGCGAACAGG
rnacentral:rRNA from 1 species